CGAGGUUGCGGCCGGCCUCGGACUCGGGGGUGGCGGCGGCGAGGGCGUGGGGAAGGGUGGGGUGUGGGGGCGAGGCGGCGACGAGGGCGGCGACACUCCCCUCCCCUCGGCUCGGCUCCACGGCGUGGGACGGCGCGAACGUGGUUUCGGAGGGAUGUCCGCCUUCUCUGAGGCGGCGCUGGAGAAGAAGCUGUCGGAGCUGAGCAACUCGCAGCAGAGCGUGCAGACCCUGUCCCUGUGGCUCAUCCACCACCGCAAACACUCGCGGCCCAUCGUCACGGUGUGGGAGCGGGAGCUCCGCAAAGCCAAACCCAACAGGAAGCUUACUUUUCUCUACCUGGCCAAUGAUGUCAUUCAGAACAGCAAAAGGAAAGGACCAGAGUUCACAAAAGACUUUGCACCAGUCAUAGUGGAGGCAUUCAAGCAUGUUUCAAGUGAAACUGAUGAAAGUUGUAAGAAGCACCUUGGCAGGGUAUUGUCUAUUUGGGAAGAGCGAUCUGUGUAUGAAAACGAUGUGUUAGAGCAACUUAAGCAUGCUCUGUAUGGAGAUAAGAAGACGAGGAAGCGGACUUAUGAACAAAUAAAAGUGGAUGAGAAUGAAAAUUGUUCCUCUUUAGGGUCCCCAAGUGAACCACCGCAGACUCUCGACCUUGUUAGAGCAUUACAAGAUUUAGAAAAUGCAGCCUCAGGUGAUGCAGCAGUCCAUCAAAGGAUAGCUUCUUUGCCUGUGGAAGUUCAAGAAGUGUCCCUGCUUGAGAAAAUAACAGAUAAAGAAUCUGGAGAGAGGCUUUCUAAAAUGGUAGAGGAUGCUUGUAUGUUGCUGGCAGACUAUAAUGGCAGACUGGCGGCAGAAAUAGAUGAUAGAAAGCAACUCACUCGAAUGUUAGCAGAUUUUCUUCGUUGUCAAAAGGAAGCCCUUGCAGAGAAAGAACAUAAAUUGGAAGAAUACAAGCGCAAACUAGCCAGAGUUUCCCUGGUGCGCAAAGAACUCAGAGCCCGGAUCCAGAGCCUGCCAGAUUUGUCUCGACUGCCCAAUGUCACUGGCAGUCACAUGCACCUGCCCUUUGCUGGGGACAUCUACGGUGAAGAUUGAUGGCCAGUCUCCUCCAAGGCCAGGACUUUGCCAGACAUGGAGACAGGUUAGGUGAAUAGUCCUGUAGAGUUAUUUUUGUACGGUGUUGAGAGAGUGGUCCUAAAGCAAGAAAUGACAAGGAAGUCUAAAAUGGUUUAAGUGUUGGUUUGUUUACUAUUUUACUAGUGAGUUAACAUGACUUAGUUAAAACCAAGUGAUUUCUGUGUAUUAAUGAGCUUAAAAUAGUGAUUAUUUUCAAAAGAUCUUUUUGUAAGUUUGGUUUUUUGAUCCAAGGUCUUGUGAGAAAUUCUGUUUCUGUUUCUUCAUGUAUUUUCAAUUGUUUUUCUUUAUUUUUUUUUCAGUAUCUAAUCACUGUACACUAUCUAAUUCCUAAUGAGAAGAACUGAUCAAGAGCUGAUAUGAGACUGUAUUAUGGUAUUGUUAGGACUUGAUUAUAGAAGAAACUAAAUGUUUCAACCUCACCUUUUCCCUUCUUACCACCCAAAUAGUGGUUCUGUGUGUCCUCAUACCUUUGAGUUUUUUAUUCCUUAGAGGUCAGUAACAACACUAGACAUGGAUGCCACAUGGAGGGUCAAAUUAAAGCCUAUAGAGCAUUUCCCCUAUAGAGUAAUUCCAUCCCACAUGCCAGUCCAGAACAAAAGGCCUGUUAAACAGACCCCUUGAUUACACUGUAGAACUAAGUGCAUUUCAUGAUUUUGAGAAUGUUCUAAGUGUUGACGUCCCACCAAGAGACCGAGAGCACAACUGACUUCUGUGAGGUCAGUCACCUUGUAUCAUUGAUCCUUUAACAAAACACCAGCCGUGGGGAAUAAACAAACAGUGACAUGCUUAUUCCCUCGUCCAUGUAAUGUAAAAUAGCACUUAGCUUGAGUAGCUCAAGAACUCAGUAUCCAUAUGUUCAUUUAAGUACCCUGGAACAUUUUAUUUCCUUAAGGUUUUUGAAUAACUGUAUAUUGGGAAUUAAGCAGUGCUAUACUACAGGGUAGAUCUGGUGAAUUUUAUACUUGUAUGUUUACAGAUGUAAAUACAAAGCAAAUGUACCUUUACUCCAUCCCGGUGUUAACAUUAGAGCAGGUGCAUGCUCUCCAGCUUUCUUUUAAGUUACAUUGUGAACUUGCAGGUUUGUAUUUGAUAAUGACAAGGGGGACGGUUUUUCUCCUUCAUUGCUUUGCAUUUCUCAUUGUAAUCAGAGUCAAACUAGUUAGUUAAUAGAACACCUUUUAAAUUCCACAGGCCAAUUAUAUCUUGCUACUCUGAAUGGCUACUCUGUUUCUUACUCAGUAUUAGUGACUAUAGUUGAAAUGAAUUUACAUGUGAAGGAAUGACAGAUAAUUUAUCUUUAAUAGCCAGUAGAUUGGGAAACAGUGCUUUUAACAAUCUGACCUCUCUCCAAAACAGUUACAUGUAUGGCAUCAUCCAUUCCCUGCAUGUCCUGUCUUCCAGUGCUUUAGACAACUUUUGGGAGUUAGGACACAUUUCCUCAGAGAAUGUAUAGCAGGUUCUCUGUGCACACCACUGAAGCUCAGCUGGGAGCCAAAUCCACUUGACCACGGAUGUACUUCACUUGUACGGUGGCUGAGGAGUGGCUUCAUGGCACAUCCUGAGUACCAUUUGUCUGCCACCGGCUUGUGUGCAUGCGGCAGCCAGAUGCUCACAGUGGGGUGUCUGCCAGUGCUGCUGUCUUUUCCCUAGGUGUAGGGAUCGAAGAAAAGAUGCGGCAGAGGGUGGACAGAUGCACAUUACACACCCUGGUUAUGCCUGGUUUGAAAGUAUGCCAAUGCAGAGAGCUGUCUGCAGUGGCAGUUUGAACAGAUUUCCGGGUGCCCCUCUGCUCCUGCAACACUACAGUAAGUAAAAGAACCACAGGGGGAGAUGGGAGCCUGGAAGUGAGCUGUGCUCUGCACCAGCCUUCCUGAGGAAGAGCACCCCUGCCCCUGUGUGACAGUGCUCCACAGCGUUGAGUCAGGGCUUCUCCAUAAGAAACCCCUUAGAAGGAACAAAAGCUAGAUGAGCUGGCCACCAUGGUUUUCAGAGUUCAGAGAAUGUUGUCUGCUGUCACUGUCUGAGCAGUGUCACCGGGUGUGGUUCAUGGACUGUCUGAGAAGUCUGGACCGGAGGACAGUGACUGGGAGGCCGGAGGCCUUCCUGAAUUCCCGCUCUGAUGGACAGGAUGUGAAGUCACAAAGCCCUGCUCUCCUGGCUGGUAGCAGGUACUCCUGAGAUGAGCCCGGCUUCCUGGUUGUGCUCUACAAAGAAGCUGUUGACGGUGAACUCAGCUCUCUGUAUAGUUCCUGUCAGUUCCUGGUUUAUUUCUACAGAGCUUUUGCUCCCAUCCAGGCUGAGGUGGCAGAAGCACACGGGAAGAGGAUUCUCCCUGUCUUUUACAAACCCUUUCCUUAGCUGUAUCUGAUGACAGUAUAAGAUCUUAAUAAAGUUUUAUGUUCUUUUUGAA